UCUGAAAAAUGACAUGCCCGUCACUAGGAAGUGGCGAAAACAUGAGUAUUAACGGUUCCAACCACCAUUUUCACCAGCUCGUGAGCCGCCGUAUCUCUCCCUCUCAGCUCUUCGCCGCCAUCGUCGGUCCACGGAGAUCGAUGGUCAUGGCGGCCGCCGCUUCCUCCCCGGGCACCAGCAGCAACGGCCGCCGCGGUGGUGCUUACACGACGAUCAAGGAGAAAGUCGUGGUCGAGAGAGAAAUCAAGAAGAGCAAAUUCAUCGCGAUCGCCGGCUCUGUCUCCGACGAGCAAUCUGCCUUCUCAUUUCUCUCCCAGGUCAGGGAUCCGCGCGCAACUCAUAAUUGUUGGGCUUAUAAGGUGGGAGCUCAAUACAGGUCUAAUGACGAUGGAGAACCCUCGGGUACUGCUGGAAAACCUAUUUACUCUGCGAUUGAAUCUUCAGGGAUCGAUAGAGUGAUGGUUGUAGUUAUAAGGCACUUUGGAGGUAUUAAACUAGGUACAGGAGGGCUGGUGAGAGCAUACGGUGGAGUUGCAUCAGAGUGCUUAAAGAAUGCCCCGACUUGUCUGGUGAAAUCUAAAGUUCCGAUGGGUGUGGAGAUUCCUUACGAGCUAUUGGGAGUUCUAUAUCAUCAGUUACAGGCUUUCCAUGCUGAGGAUGUCAAGCAGGACUAUGAGACUGGUAAAGACGUUACUACCAUGGUUACCUUCAAGGUUGAUUACGACCAGAUGGAGAAAUUGGAAGAAGCUAUCAAAGCAAAUUGUGGUCGCGAUGUUCCAUUGUAUAAAUCCUGACGGACUCUUGCUCAUCUAUGUUUUCUGUGGGACGGUCUUGUCCGUGCGUCUGAUCCUGUGAUGACAGGAUGCUGGUAAAUAACAGGUGGGUAGAUGCUCUCUUGAUCAUGGUUACCGAGACCGUGGCCUGUUAUUGAUCUUGCUCGACAAUGGUAACCAGGCAUCCAUGGUUGAAGAAUUCCCAAAGGGUUGAUUUACUUGUAGUGUGGAGUCAUUCGGGAGAUUCCGAUGGAUUAGUCGUCGUCACAGAGAGCACCUUGUGAAAUCAAUAG